GACGAACGCUGGCGGCGUGCUUAACACAUGCAAGUCGAACGGAAAGGCCUGCUUUUGUGGGGUGCUCGAGUGGCGAACGGGUGAGUAACACGUGAGUAACCUGCCCUUGACUUUGGGAUAACUUCAGGAAACUGGGGCUAAUACCGGAUAGGAGCUCCUGCUGCAUGGUGGGGGUUGGAAAGUUUCGGCGGUUGGGGAUGGACUCGCGGCUUAUCAGCUUGUUGGUGGGGUAGUGGCUUACCAAGGCUUUGACGGGUAGCCGGCCUGAGAGGGUGACCGGCCACAUUGGGACUGAGAUACGGCCCAGACUCCUACGGGAGGCAGCAGUGGGGAAUAUUGCACAAUGGGCGGAAGCCUGAUGCAGCAACGCCGCGUGCGGGAUGACGGCCUUCGGGUUGUAAACCGCUUUCGCCUGUGACGAAGCGUGAGUGACGGUAAUGGGUAAAGAAGCACCGGCCAACUACGUG
rnacentral:rRNA from 1 species